rnacentral:rRNA from 1 species
CAGCCGAUGGAUAGUCAGUAAAGAAUCAGAAUUACCUGGAAAGGUAAGCCGGAGAGGGUGACAGCCCCGUACGAGUAGAAAAGCUGACUGUUCUUGAGUAAGGCGGAGCACGAGAAAUUCUGUCUGAAAAUGGGGAGACCACUCUCCAAGGCUAAGUACUACUGAUUGACCGAUAGUGAACAAGUACCGUGAGGGAAAGGUGAAAAGCACCCCUAUAAGGGGAGUGAAAGAGAACCUGAAACCGGAUGCCUACAAGCAGUCGGAGGGUCUAUAAGGCCUGACGGCGUACCUUUUGUAUAAUGGGUCAGCGACUUAAUUUAUGUAGCAAGCUUAAGCCGAUAGGUGUAGGCGUAGAGAAAUCGAGUGUUAACAGCGCGUUAAGUUACAUGAAUUAGACCCGAAACCGAGUGAUCUAGCCAUGAUCAGGUUGAAGGUUGGGUAACACCAACUGGAGGACCGAACCCACUCCCGUUGAAAAGGUAGGGGAUGAAUUGUGGCUAGGGGUGAAAGGCCAAUCAAACUCGGAAAUAGCUGGUUCUCCGCGAAAACUAUUUAGGUAGUGCGGUGAGCGGACACCUUGAGGGGUAGAGCACUGGAAGAGCUAAGGGGGAGCGAUCCUUACUAAACUUUACCAAACUCCGAAUACUCAAGAGUGAUACUCACCAGACAGACAUUAGGUGCUAAGGUCUAGUGUCGAGAGGGAAAGAGCCCAGACCGCCAAUUAAGGUCCCAAAAUUAUGGCUAAGUGGUAAAGGAAGUGAAACGUCCAAAACAGUCAGGAGGUUGGCUUAGAAGCAGCCAUCCUUUAAAGAAAGCGUAAUAGCUCACUGAUCUAAAUAAGACGUCUUGCGCCGAAGAUGUAACGGGGCUAAAGCCAUAUACCGAAGUUGCGGAUUUACACGUUAAAGUGUAAGUGGUAGCGGAGCGUUCUGUAAGCCUGCGAAGGUGUACCGUAAGGUAUGCUGGAGGUAUCAGAAGUGAGAAUGCUGACAUGAGUAGCGAAAAGAAGAGUGAGAGACUCUUCCGCUGAAAGUCCAAGGUUUCCUGCGUAAAGCUAAUCUGCGCAGGGUUAGUCGGUCCCUAAGGCGAGGCAGAGAUGCGUAGUCGAUGGCAAUCAGGUUAAUAUUCCUGAACCGGCCCGGAAGUGACGGAUUGAGUAAAUUGUAAGUUCUUAUUGGAUUGAGCUUGCAGUGAAUCAGUCCCAGGAAAUAGCCCGGGCUAAGACCGUACCCGAAACCGACACAGGUGGACAGGUAGAGAAUACCAAAGCGCUUGAGAGAACUAUGUUGAAGGAACUAGGCAAAAUACUUGCGUAACUUCGGGAUAAGCAAGCCCCAUUUUAAGGCAACUUAGGGUGGGGGGCACAUACUAGGGGGUAGCGACUGUUUACUAAAAACACAGGGCUCUGCUAAAUUGAAAGAUGAAGUAUAGGGUCUGACGCCUGCCCGGUGCUGGAAGGUUAAGGAGAGAUGUGCAAGCAUUGAACUGAAGCCCCAGUAAACGGCGGCCGUAACUAUAACGGUCCUAAGGUAGCGAAAUUCCUUGUCGGGUAAGUUCCGACCUGCACGAAUGGCGUAACGACUUCCCCGCUGUCUCCAACAUAGGCUCAGCGAAAUUGAACUCUGAGUUAAGAUGCUCAGUACCCGCGGUUAGACGGAGAGACCCCGUGAACCUUUACUAUAGCUUUGCAGUGGUAUUAGGUAACAAAUGUGUAGAAUAGGUGGGAUGCUAUGAAGCUACGACGCCAGUUGUAGUGGAGCAGACUUUGAAAUACCACCCUUUUGUUGUUUGAUAUCUAACCUGCUCCCGUUAUCCGGGAGAGGGACCCUGCAUGGUGGGUAGUUUGACUGGGGCGGUCGCCUCCCAAAGAGUAACGGAGGCGCGCAAAGGUUGGCUCAGAUUGGUCAGAAAUCAAUCGUUGAGUGCAAUGGCAUAAGCCAGCCUGACUGCGAGAGCGACGGUUCGAGCAGAUACGAAAGUAGGUCAUAGUGAUCCGGUGGUCCCGAGUGGAAGGGCCAUCGCUCAACGGAUAAAAGGUACUCCGGGGAUAACAGGCUGAUACCGCCCAAGAGUUCACAUCGA